CAUGCAAGUCGAGCGGCAGCGGGAAAGUAGCUUGCUACUUUUGCCGGCGAGCGGCGGACGGGUGAGUAAUGCCUGGGAAAUUGCCCAGUCGAGGGGGAUAACAGUUGGAAACGACUGCUAAUACCGCAUACGCCCUACGGGGGAAAGCAGGGGCACCUUCGGGCCUUGCGCGAUUGGAUAUGCCCAGGUGGGCAUUAGCUAGUUGGUGAGGUAAUGGCUCACCAAGGCGACGAUCCCUAGCUGGUCUGAGAGGAUGAUCAGCCACACUGGAACUGAGACACGGUCCAGACUCCUACGGGAGGCAGCAGUGGGGAAUAUUGCACAAUGGGGGAAACCCUGAUGCAGCCAUGCCGCGUGUGUGAAGAAGGCCUUCGGGUUGUAAAGCACUUUCAGCGAGGAGGAAAGGUUGAUGCCUAAUACGUAUCAA
rnacentral:rRNA from 1 species